rnacentral:rRNA from 1 species
UAGGGAAUCUUCCACAAUGGACGAAAGUCUGAUGGAGCAACGCCGCGUGAGUGAAGAAGGGUUUCGGCUCGUAAAACUCUGUUGUUAAAGAAGAAACAUAUCUGAGAGUAACUGUUCAGGUAUUGACGGUAUUUAACCAGAAAGCCACGGCUAACUACGUGCCAG